CCCAGCAGAAAGACCCGCGAAC
rnacentral:rRNA from 1 species